UACGUAGGGGGCUAGCGUUGUCCGGAAUCAUUGGGCGUAAAGAGCGUGUAGGCGGCCCGGUAAGUCCGCUGUAAAAGUCAAAGGCUCAACCUUUGAAUGUCAGUGGAUACUGCCGGGCUAGAGUCCGGAAGAGGCGAGUGGAACUCCUGGUGUAGCGGUGGAAUGCGCAGAUAUCAGGAGGAACACCGAUGGCGAAGGCAGGCCUCUGGGCCAUAACUGACGCUGAGAAGCGAAAGCAUGGGGAGCGAACAGG
rnacentral:rRNA from 1 species